rnacentral:rRNA from 1 species
UACGGAGGGUGCAAGCGUUAUCCGGAUUUACUGGGUUUAAAGGGUGUGUAGGCGGGCUAUUAAGUCAGUGGUGAAAUCUCCGGGCUCAACCUGGAAACUGCCAUUGAUACUAUUAGUCUUGAAUUCUGUUGAGGUGGGCGGAAUAAGUCAUGUAGCGGUGAAAUGCAUAGAUAUGACUUAGAACACCAAUUGCGAAGGCAGCUCGCUAAACAGACAUUGACGCUGAGGCACGAAAGCGUGGGGAGCAAACAGG